AUGACUAGGGAUAACCUUAGGAAGAGACACAUCAUCAAACCCCUUGAUUGUGUUUACUGCUUGGAACAAGAGUCUUGUUCUCACCUAUUUUUUGAAUGUAUAGUUGCUAAACAUCUCUGGGCCCACAUUGAUGAAUAUUUCUCUAGUCAGAUUGGCUCAUCCUUCGAAUCUGUCGCUAGAUUCUGGAUUGCUACCAAAAAGUGCUCAGUUUUAAACACUGUUAGCUCAGCUGUCCUUUGGUGCCUCUGGAAAUAUAGAAAUGCUAUGAUUUUCAGUAACACCUCCUGGAUUUCCAUUCCGCAGGUCUUGAGGUUGAUCAGGAACAUGGUGAGGAACUGGGCGAUUCUCUCCUCUGGAUCGGACAAGGACAAGUUGAUGAGCUUCAUGGAAACCCUAACAAGAUCCCUCCAGAAACCGUUGGCGAUCACUUGUGGUUGA
rnacentral:rRNA from 1 species